AUUGAACGCUGGCGGCAGGCUUAACACAUGCAAGUCGAGCGGAGACUUCGGUCUUAGCGGCGAACGGGUGAGUAAUACCUAGGAAUCUGCCUAUUAGUGGGGGAUAACGAAUCGAAAGGUUCGCUAAUACCGCAUACGACCUACGGGUGAAAGUGGGGGACCUUCGGGCCUCACGCGAUGAGAUGAGCCGAUGCCGGAUUAGCUAGUUGGCGGGGUAAAGGCCCACCAAGGCGACGAUGUCUAGCUGGUCUGAGAGGAUGAUCAGCCACACUGGGACUGAGACACGGCCCAGACUCCUACGGGAGGCAGCAGUGGGGAAUCUUGCGCAAUGGGCGAAAGCCUGACGCAGCCAUGCCGCGUGGAUGAUGAAGGUCUUAGGAUUGUAAAAUCCUUUCACCGGUGAAGAUAAUGACUGUAGCCGGAGAAGAAGCCCCGGCUAACUUCGUG
rnacentral:rRNA from 1 species